ACGAACGCUGGCGGCGUGCUUCACCCCUGCCAGUCGCACGGAAAGGCCCUGCUUUUGUGGGGUGCUCGAGUGGCGAACGGGUGAGUAACACGUGAGUAACCUGCCCUUGACUUUGGGAUAACUUCAGGAAACUGGGGCUAAUACCGGAUAGGAGCUCCUGCUGCAUGGUGGGGGUUGGAAAGUUUCGGCGGUUGGGGAUGGACUCGCGGCUUAUCAGCUUGUUGGUGGGGUAGUGGCUUACCAAGGCUUUGACGGGUAGCCGGCCUGAGAGGGUGACCGGCCACAUUGGGACUGAGAUACGGCCCAGACUCCUACGGGAGGCAGCAGUGGGGAAUAUUGCACAAUGGGCGGAAGCCUGAUGCAGCAACGCCGCGUGCGGGAUGACGGCCUUCGGGUUGUAAACCGCUUUCGCCUGUGACGAAGCGUGAGUGACGGUAAUGGGUAAAGAAGCACCGGCUAACUACGU
rnacentral:rRNA from 1 species